CGGAGGAAAAGAAACCAACAGGGAUUGCCCUAGUAACGGCGAGUGAAGCGGCAACAGCUCAAAUUUGAAAUCUGGCCUCACGGUCCGAAUUGUAAUUUGUAGAGGAUGUUUCUGGCGACGUGUCUUCCGAGUUCCCUGGAACGGGACGCCAUAGAGGGUGAGAGCCCCGUCCGGUCGUACACCUAGCCUCUGUGAAACUCCUUCGACGAGUCGAGUAGUUUGGGAAUGCUGCUCUAAAUGGGAGGUAUACGUCUUCUAAAGCUAAAUACCGGCCAGAGACCGAUAGCGCACAAGUAGAGUGAUCGAAAGAUGAAAAGCACUUUGAAAAGAGGGUUAAAUAGUACGUGAAAUUGCUGAAAGGGAAGCGCUUAUGACCAGACUUGGGCUCGGUGAAUCAUCCGGCGUUCUCGCCGGUGCACUUUGCCGUCCCAGGCCAGCAUCAGUUCGCGCCGGGGGAUAAAGGUUUCGGGAAUGUAGCUCCCUCGGGAGUGUUAUAGCCCGUUGCGUAAUACCCUGGCGUGGACUGAGGUCCGCGCUCUGCAAGGAUGCUGGCGUAAUGGUCAUCAGUGACCCGUCUUG
rnacentral:rRNA from 1 species